rnacentral:rRNA from 1 species
GACGAACUUUGGCGGCGUGCUUAACACAUGCAAGUCGAACGGAAAGGCCCUGCUUUUGUGGGGUGCUCGAGUGGCGAACGGGUGAGUAACACGUGAGUAACCUGCCCUUGACUUUGGGAUAACUUCAGGAAACUGGGGCUAAUACCGGAUAGGAGCUCCUGCUGCAUGGUGGGGGUUGGAAAGUUUCGGCGGUUGGGGAUGGACUCGCGGCUUAUCAGCUUGUUGGUUGGGUAGUGGCUUACCAAGGCUUUGACGGGUAGCCGGCCUGAGAGGGUGACCGGCCACAUUGGGACUGAGAUACGGCCCAGACUCCUACGGGAGGCAGCAGUGGGGAAUAUUGCACAAUGGGCGGAAGCCUGAUGCAGCAACGCCGCGUGCGGGAUGACGGCCUUCGGGUUGUAAACCGCUUUCGCCUGUGACGAAGCGUGAGUGACGGUAAUGGGUAAAGAAGCACCGGCUAACUACGUGCCAGCAGCCGCGGUGAUACGUAGGGUGCGAGCGUUGUCCGGAUUUAUUGGGCGUAAAGGGCUCGUAGGUGGUUGAUCGCGUCGGAAGUGUAAUCUUGGGGCUUAACCCUGAGCGUGCUUUCGAUACGGGUUGACUUGAGGAAGGUAGGGGAGAAUGGAAUUCCUGGUGGAGCGGUGGAAUGCGCAGAUAUCAGGAGGAACACCAGUGGCGAAGGCGGUUCUCUGGGCCUUUCCUGACGCUGAGGAGCGAAAGCGUGGGGAGCGAACAGGCUUAGAUACCCUGGUAGUCCACGCUGUAAACGGUGGGUACUAGGUGUGGGGUCCAUUCCACGGGUUCCGUGCCGUAGCUAACGCUUUAAGUACCCCGCCUGGGGAGUACGGCCGCAAGGCUAAAACUCAAAGGAAUUGACGGGGCCCCGCACAAGCGGCGGAGCAUGCGGAUUAAUUCGAUGCAACGCGUAGAACCUUACCUGGGUUUGACAUGGAUCGGGAGUGCUCAGAGAUGGGUGUGCCUCUUUUGGGGUCGGUUCACAGGUGGUGCAUGCCUGUCGUCAGCUCGUGUCGUGAGAUGUUGGGUUAAGUCCCGCAACGAGCGCAACCCUUGUUCACUGUUGCCAGCACGUUAUGGUGGGGACUCAGUGGAGACCGCCGGGGUCAACUCGGAGGAAGGUGGGGAUGACGUCAAGUCCUCAUGCCCCUUAUGUCCAGGGCUUCACGCAUGCUACAAUGGCUGGUACAGAGAGUGGCGAGCCUGUGAGGGUGAGCGAAUCUCGGAAAGCCGGUCUCAGUUCGGAUUGGGGUCUGCAACUCGACCUCAUGAAGUCGGAGUCGCUAGUAAUCGCAAAAGAGCAACCGCGGCGGUGAAUACGUUCCCGGGGCU